ACCAGACUCCUACGGGAGGCAGCAGUGGGGAAUAUUGCACAAUGGGGGAAACCCUGAUGCAGCGACGCCGCGUGAGUGAAGAAGUAUUUCGGUAUGUAAAGCUCUAUCAGCAGGAACGAGACAAGACGGUACCUGACUAAGAAGCCCCGGCUAACUACGUGCCAGCAGCCGCGGUAAUACGUAGGGGGCAAGCGUUAUCCGGAAUCACUGGGUGUAAAGGGAGCGUAGACGGCUGUGCAAGCCUGAAGUGAAAGGCGGGGGCCCAACCCCUGGACUGCUUUGGGAACUGUACGGCUGGAGUGCAGGAGAGGUAAGUGGAAUUCCUAGUGUAGCGGUGAAAUGCGUAGAUAUUAGGAGGAACACCAGUGGCGAAGGCGGCUUACUGGACUGUAACUGACGUUGAGGCUCGAAAGCGUGGGGAGCAAACAGGAUUAGAUACCCUUGUAAAG
rnacentral:rRNA from 1 species